GUUUGGCGUAGCUCAGAUGGUAGAGCGCUUGCUUAGCAUGCAAGAGUUACGCGGAUCAAUACCCCGCGCCUACA